rnacentral:rRNA from 1 species
UACGGAAGGCAGCAGUGGGGAAUAUUGCACAAUGGGCGAAAGCCUGAUGCAGCUAUGCCGCGUGUAUGAAGAAGGCCUUAGGGUUGUAAAGUACUUUCAUCGGGGAGGAAAAAACAAAACUAAUAAUUUUAUUUCUUGACGUUACCCGAAAAAGAAGCACCGGCUAACUCCGUGCCAGCAGCCGCGGUAAUACGGAGGGUGCUAGCGUUAAUCAGAAUUACUGGGCGUAAAGAGCACGUAGGUGGUUUUUUUAAAGUCAGAUGUGAAAUCCCUGGGCUUAACCUGGAACUGCAUUUUGAAACUGAAAUACUAGAGUAUCGUAGAGGGAGGUAGAAUUCUAGGUGUAGCGGUGAAAUGCGUAGAUAUCUGGAGGAAUACCUGUGGCGAAAGCGGCCUCCUAAACGAAUACUGACACUGAGGUGCGAAAGCGUGGGGAGCAAACA